AUUGUACUCCCUCCGUCCCAUAUUAAGUGACUCAAAUUUGCCCAAAUAUGGAUGUAUCUAUGUCUAAAAAGCGUCUAGAUACAUGUAAUAGAAAGUCACUUAAUAUGGGACAGAGGGAAUAAGAU
rfam:Brachypodium distachyon strain Bd21 chromosome 4, whole genome shotgun sequence.